CGCGAAGAACCUUACCUACUCUUGACAUCCAGAGAACUUAGCAGAGAUGCUUUGGUGCCUUCGGGAACUCUGAGACAGGUGCUGCAUGGCUGUCGUCAGCUCGUGUUGUGAAAUGUUGGGUUAAGUCCCGCAACGAGCGCAACCCUUAUCCUUGUUUGCCAGCGAGUAAUGUCGGGAACUCCAGGGAGACUGCCGGUGAUAAACCGGAGGAAGGUGGGGACGACGUCAAGUCAUCAUGGCCCUUACGAGUAGGGCUACACACGUGCUACAAUGGCGCAUACAGAGGGCGGCCAACUUGCGAAAGUGAGCGAAUCCCAAAAAGURMGKSGUAGUCCGGAUUGGAGUCUGCAACUCGACUCCAUGAAGUCG
rnacentral:rRNA from 1 species